rnacentral:rRNA from 1 species
AAAUUGAAGAGUUUGAUCAUGGCUCAGAUUGAACGCUGGCGGCAGGCCUAACACAUGCAAGUCGAGCGGUAGCACAGAGAGCUUGCUCUCGGGUGACGAGCGGCGGACGGGUGAGUAAUGUCUGGGAAACUGCCUGAUGGAGGGGGGAUAACUACUGGAAACGGUAGCUAAUACCGCAUAACGUCGCAAGACCAAAGUGGGGGACCUUCGGGCCUCAUGCCAUCAGAUGUGCCCAGAUGGGAUUAGCUAGUAGGUGGGGUAACGGCUCACCUAGGCGACGAUCCCUAGCUGGUCUGAGAGGAUGACCAGCCACACUGGAACUGAGACACGGUCCAGACUCCUACGGGAGGCAGCAGUGGGGAAUAUUGCACAAUGGGCGCAAGCCUGAUGCAGCCAUGCCGCGUGUGUGAAGAAGGCCUUCGGGUUGUAAAGCACUUUCAGCGGGGAGGAAGGCGGUGAGGUUAAUAACCUCAUCGAUUGACGUUACCCGCAGAAGAAGCACCGGCUAACUCCGUGCCAGCAGCCGCGGUAAUACGGAGGGUGCAAGCGUUAAUCGGAAUUACUGGGCGUAAAGCGCACGCAGGCGGUCUGUCAAGUCGGAUGUGAAAUCCCCGGGCUCAACCUGGGAACUGCAUUCGAAACUGGCAGGCUAGAGUCUUGUAGAGGGGGGUAGAAUUCCAGGUGUAGCGGUGAAAUGCGUAGAGAUCUGGAGGAAUACCGGUGGCGAAGGCGGCCCCCUGGACAAAGACUGACGCUCAGGUGCGAAAGCGUGGGGAGCAAACAGGAUUAGAUACCCUGGUAGUCCACGCCGUAAACGAUGUCGAUUUGGAGGUUGUGCCCUUGAGGCGUGGCUUCCGGAGCUAACGCGUUAAAUCGACCGCCUGGGGAGUACGGCCGCAAGGUUAAAACUCAAAUGAAUUGACGGGGGCCCGCACAAGCGGUGGAGCAUGUGGUUUAAUUCGAUGCAACGCGAAGAACCUUACCUGGUCUUGACAUCCACAGAACUUUCCAGAGAUGGAUUGGUGCCUUCGGGAACUGUGAGACAGGUGCUGCAUGGCUGUCGUCAGCUCGUGUUGUGAAAUGUUGGGUUAAGUCCCGCAACGAGCGCAACCCUUAUCCUUUGUUGCCAGCGGUCCGGCCGGGAACUCAAAGGAGACUGCCAGUGAUAAACUGGAGGAAGGUGGGGAUGACGUCAAGUCAUCAUGGCCCUUACGACCAGGGCUACACACGUGCUACAAUGGCAUAUACAAAGAGAAGCGACCUCGCGAGAGCAAGCGGACCUCAUAAAGUAUGUCGUAGUCCGGAUUGGAGUCUGCAACUCGACUCCAUGAAGUCGGAAUCGCUAGUAAUCGUAGAUCAGAAUGCUACGGUGAAUACGUUCCCGGGCCUUGUACACACCGCCCGUCACACCAUGGGAGUGGGUUGCAAAAGAAGUAGGUAGCUUAACCUUCGGGAGGGCGCUUACCACUUUGUGAUUCAUGACUGGGGUGAAGUCGUAACAAGGUAACCGUAGGGGAACCUGCGGUUGGAUCACCUCCUUA